rnacentral:rRNA from 1 species
GACGAACGCUGGCGGCGUGCUUAACACAUGCAAGUCGAACGGUAAGGCCCUUCGGGGUACACGAGUGGCGAACGGGUGAGUAACACGUGGGUGAUCUGCCCUGCACUUCGGGAUAAGCCUGGGAACCCGGGUCUAAUACCGGCUAGGACUGCUGGCUUCAUGGUUGGGGGUGGAAAGCUUUUGCGGUGUGGGGUGGGCCCGCGGCCUAUCAGCUUGUUUGUGGGGUAAUGGCCUACCGAGGCGACGACGGGUAGCCGGCCUGAGAGGGUGACCGGUCACACUGGGACUGAGACACGGCCCAGACUCCUACGGGAGGCAGCAGUGGGGAUUAUUGCACAAUGGGCGCAAGCCUGAUGCAGCGACGCCGCGUGAGGGAUGACGGCCUUCGGGUUGUAAACCUCUUUCAGCUAUGACGAAGCGCAAGUGACGGUAGUAGCAGAAGAAGGACCGGCCAACUACGUGCCAGCAGCCGCCGUAA